CACAGGCCUCUUUUUGUUCUCCGAAGGCCGGAGUGAACUGAGGACUCAUUAGAGGCCCUGCGCUCCCCCAGCAGGUCCAGUCAAGCCUCUUUGACCCAACUUGCACUGGAGCCUGACAGCAGUCUCGCAGGCUCAGCGUCCGGGCCCACAGGCUAGGGAUACCCUUGCAAGACGGAAGGGCGGGUUCUGAACCAGAAGAACCACGUCCGUCAGCAAUCUGGAGAAGAAGAAUUCACAUUUAAAGUUUGGAAAGUGGCAGAAAAAAAAGCCACAUCAUUUCCUAAGAAGCAGGGCCUCAGAGGACCUGAAUGAAGCCCCAGUAGAUUCUGGGCCAGCCGAGCAAGGCCUUAGGUUCUGGCAGGGCAGAAGCCGGUGUCCGAAUAUCCUGACCAGCCAAGGGGAG
ensembl:lncRNA